CCCUUAGAUGUUCUGGGCUGCACGCGCGCUACACUGAUGCGUUCAACGAGUUUUCCUUGCUCGAGAGAGUUGGGUAAUCUUCAUGAAAACGCAUCGUGAUGGGGAUAGGCGCUUGUAAUUAUUCGCCUUGAACGAGGAAUUCCUAGUAAGCGCGAGUCAUCAGCUCGCGCUGAUUACGUCCCUGCCCUUUGUACACACCGCCCGUCGCUCCUACCGAUUGAGCGGUCCGGUGAAUAGUUCGGACUGUGCAGCUUGCAGUUCUGCGUGCUGUGUGGAAAGCUCAGUAAACCUUAUCGCUUAGAGGAAGGAGAAGUCGUAACA
rnacentral:rRNA from 1 species